rnacentral:rRNA from 1 species
UACGUGAGGGGCUAGCGUUGUCCGGAAUCAUUGGGCGUAAAGCGCGCGUAGGCGGCCGGUAAGUCCGCUGUAAAAGUCAAAGGCUCAACCGUUUGAAUGUCAGUCGGAUACUCGCCGGGCUAGAGUCCGGAAGAGGCGAGUGGAACUCCUGGUGUAGCGGUGGAAUGACGCAGAUAUCAGGAAGAACACCGACGGCGAAGGCAGCUCGCUGGGACGGUACUGACGCUGAGGCGCGAAAGCGUGGGGAGCGAACAGG